rnacentral:misc_RNA from 1 species
AGGGAUCAUUAACAUACACAUCAUGUUGAGGCAUGGCAUAGGGACCCUAGAGGUCUCUUUGUCAUACCAUAUACAUAUACACACCCAUGAACCUACUCAUACAUACACCCACACUUGGCCGAUAUGGACACUUACAUUAGUUCUCUACUGGGACCGAGUGGAGUCCCAUAUCGUCCUCCCCAUUUCUUCCCCCUUUUUUUCUCCCUCACUAUAUGCUAUGCUCCCUACAUACAAUCUAUAUAUCACUCCUAGCAAUGGAUAUCUAGGUUCUC